rnacentral:rRNA from 1 species
UACGUAGGGUCCGAGCGUUGUCCGGAAUUAUUGGGCGUAAAGGGCUCGUAGGCGGUCUGUUGCGUCGGGAGUGAAAAUUCACAGCUUAACUGUGAACUUGCUUCCGAUACGGGCAGACUUGAGGUAUUCAGGGGAGAACGGAAUUCCUGGUGUAGCGGUGAAAUGCGCAGAUAUCAGGAAGAACACCCGUGGCGCAAGCGGCCACCUGGCCAAGAGCUGACGCUGAGGCACGAGAGCGUGGGGAGCGAACCGG